UGGGGAAUAUUGGACAAUGGGCGCAAGCCUGAUCCAGCAAUGCCGCGUGGGUGAAGAAGGUUUUCGGAUUGUAAAGCCCUUUCGGCGGGGACGAUGAUGACGGUACCCGCAGAAGAAGCCCCGGCUAACUUCGUGCCAGCAGCCGCGGUAAUACGAAGGGGGCUAGCGUUGCUCGGAAUGACUGGGCGUAAAGGGCGCGUAGGCGGACUGCACAGUCCGAUGUGAAAUUCCUGGGCUCAACCUGGGGGCUGCAUUGGAUACGUAUGGUCUUGAGUGGGGAAGAGGGUCGUGGAAUUCCCAGUGUAGAGGUGAAAUUCGUAGAUAUUGGGAAGAACACCGGUGGCGAAGGCGGCGACCUGGUCCUUAACUGACGCUGAGGCGCGAAAGCGUGGGGAGCAAACAGGAUUAGAUACCCUGGUAGUCCACGCUGUAAACGAUGUGCGCUGGAUGUUGGGCGGCCUAGCCGUUCAGUGUCGCAGCUAACGCGAUAAGCGCACCGCCUGGGGAGUACGGCC
rnacentral:rRNA from 1 species